rnacentral:rRNA from 1 species
GAUGGACGCUAGCGGCAGGCCUAAUACAUGCAAGUCGAGGGGCAGCGGGAGUAGCAAUACUUGCCGGCGACCGGCGCACGGGUGCGUAACACGUAUGUAAUCUACCCUUUACUGGAGAAUAGCCCGAAGAAAUUCGGAUUAAUGCUCCAUAAUAUCACUGGAAGGCAUCUUUUGGUGAUUAAAGUUCCGACGGUAAAGGAUGAGCAUGCGCGAUAUUAGAGAGUUGGUGAGGUAACGGCUCACCAAGGCGACGAUAUCUAGGGGUACUGAGAGGUUACACCCCCACACUGGUACUGAGACACGGACCAGACUCCUACGGGAGGCAGCAGUAAGGAAUAUUGGACAAUGGUCGCAAGACUGAUCCAGCCAUGCCGCGUGCAGGAUGAAUGCCCUAUGGGUUGUAAACUGCUUUUAUACGGGAAUAAACCCGGGUACGUGUACCCGGCUGAAUGUACCGUAAGAAUAAGGGUCGGCUAACUUCGUGCCAGCCGCCGCCGUAA